rnacentral:rRNA from 1 species
UGCCAGCCGCCGCGGUAAUACGGAGGGUGCAAGCGUUGUCCGGAUUCAUUGGGUUUAAAGGGUGCGUAGGCGGAAUUAUAAGUCAGUGGUGAAAUCUUGCGGCUCAACCGUAAAAUUGCCAUAGAUACUGUAGUUCUUGAGUGCGGUCGAGGUGGUUGGAAUGCGUAGUGUAGCGGUGAAAUGCAUAGAUAUUACGCAGAACACCAAUUGAGAAGUCAGAUCACUAGACCGAAACUGACGCUGAGGCACGAAAGCGUGGGGAGCGAACAGGAUUAGAUA